ensembl:lncRNA
AAGACAUUUGUUUAUAGUUACUGCAUAUGAAAUAUUGUCUGGCAAAACAUGGCAACCUUUUAGAAACUUUGGAGCUGAGUUGACGUAAUGAAAAGCCAAAAAGAAACAUUUUCUAAUUUGAAAUUGGUUGGUCUGAACGCAACUAAACACAAACAUUUUGACAUUUGACAUUUUGUCGAAUAGAAGAGCUCAUGGUUUUUAAUGAUAAUUACAAUGACAUAAAAAAGUCCCACAAAUGAUAUGAUUUCACACACUAUUUAUUAGAGGGUCUAGGGAAUAUUAGUCAUCCUACUUUACAUACACUUUCACCAACCCAAUUAUAUAGGAGGGACAGCAAAAUUCCCCAUUCAUGCUUGGAAGCUAGCAGUAUGUUUAUAUUAAACCUUACACUUAAUGUGCAGAUAACUCUUUGUUUUCCUUUUAAAUCCGUGACUACCAAAAAAACAAUUAUAAUUAGAUCAGUAGCUGAGAUAGAUUUUACUAAGAAGGAUAAAAUAAUGUGUUCUGC